GCUCUGAUGGCCGAGUGGUUAAGGCGUUGGAUUUGAAAUCUAAUGGGAUUUCCCGCGUAGGUUCGAGCCCUGCUCACAGCG